GUUUUUUGGUUAUAACCGAUUUUGGCUCACCCCUACAUGUAUUGACAUGUUGCAUUGCCAUCAUACUGAUAGCAAUGUUAUCAUCACAAUAUAUGCACCAUUUCUGAGACCCUAAUCACAAAUCUGCCAUGGUACAAUUGAAACUUCCACAAAAAUCCAUAUAUUGCAAUGCCAUAAAGUUUAAGUUCUAAGCUAUUACCAAGCAAAAAUAAAAAACUAUUUACCCAAAUACCCUUAUUUUGUUCAUUCAGCGAUUUACACUUACACUAUCAGCCAAACAAGAUGCAUAUGCAGAUGUUACUAGGCAUGUCACGCGUCACACCUCAACCAAAGAGCUCUAAUAAUAUUUGAAUUUGAGGCAAUUUCUCACGGCUAGGCUUAUGCAACUUUAAUUUAUUAAAAUAUCAUUAAAAGAACAAUUCAAAGCUGUAAAAGAAAUACUACACCAACAUAUUAUACCAUGAUAUAUUAUAAUAAAUCUUAAAGUACAAGGCUUAAUUAUCUAUUAACAGUAAGCAAAGAUCUCAAAAAAUCUGCCAGAAGAAUGGCAUGCAACAUAACCACAAAUUUAUUUUCCUCAAAACAACAUAUACCAAAAAGAUAAAUAUGGGCAAGGAGAUUAAUGCCUAAAACACUUUCAUAUACCCUUCAACUCUCUACACCAGACAAGAAUCCCAGAAUACACACACCCUAAAAGCUUACUCAUACUCUUUUGAAAAACCCCAAAUUGCCCAUCCAAUGUAGCUCCAUGUCUUUAAAAGUUAAAACAAUAAGAAAAAGAACAAGUUCUUUUACACUUUAGAUAUCAAUCACGAUAUCAUGUGUACAUGUAAAGUAAGACAGGCUAGAACUAUGUAAUUUAUCAUAAAUCAAGAAUGAAUACUCAACUUGAAGUUCCUACAAGAAGAGAAAUAAAAGAAAAUAUGAUUGAUAAAAACAAUAAAUAGAAUUUGUUAUUAUCUUCUCCCUUCACCAUGCUUUAUUGGUUACAACAUUUUUACACAAAACGUAGAGGAAAACAUGUCUCAAAUGGAUACCAAAUAUAUGGUCUUACAGUUUCUUGUUUCCUAACAUCGUCCAGCAAUUACCCUACAUGCCUCAAAAGUAAGAUCAUAGUAUUUUCUCUAUAUUGCAAUAUUAUCUUCAUCAUUAAUAACAGCAUCCUAUUUCUUCUCCACUGCAAUUUUAUUCCAGACCUGACAUAAAAUAAAUUGCUUCAUUCUAAGGAAUCCUAAGCCUCUACAAUGCAGCAAGUCAAAAUUAUACCAGAAGAAGCAGCUCCUUUGUCAACCAUAGUAUGUGUUAUCAGAUGCGUAUUAUCAUCAAAGACGCACAGUAACUUCAUCCACCACACAAAUUUGGAUACUACAAUGAAAC
rnacentral:misc_RNA from 1 species